CUAAUUAUUUAUUUGAGUAUUAUAUUUUUUAUCUAUUUAAUUAAUUAACGAAUGUAGGUAUUUAUUUACGUAUGUUUUUAUUUUUAUUUGGAAAUGCAAUUUAUGUGGAAAAUUGUUAAGUUGAUUUCAACCAGUCAACGCCACUCUGAUUUGCUGAGACCGCACGUCAUCAUAAACUCCACUCUGAUAUGCCGAGGCAAAACACGCUAAACAUUUUUUGGCUGCUGCAGUAGCUCAGCUCAGCUCAGCUCAGCUCAUUCAGUUCAGCUCGCUCAGCUCAGCUCCGCUCCGGACCGGACUCAGCUGCCAAGCUAUAAGAUGGAGUCAUGAAAUGUGACGGGACAGCCACCGAGGACUUCAUACUUCGGAGCAUCUCAAACAUGCACCACAAAGACGUGGAGGACACACCGCUGUCUCUCAGGACCUAGAAUCUUAAUGAAAGUAUAAUGAUGUUAAGGGAAGGUGUAAUGGAAAGGUGUAAUGUAAAGUUGUAAUGGUGUUAAGGGAAGGUGUAGUGGAAAGGUGUGAUAGUGUUGAGGGAAGGUGUAAUGUUAAAGGUGUGAUAGUGUUGAGGGAAGGUGUAAUAGUGUUGAGGGAAGGGGUAAUGUUAAAGGUGUAAUAGUGUUGAGGGAAGGGGUAAUGUUAAAGGUGUAAUAGUGUUAAGGGAAGGUAUAAUAUUGUUAAGGGAAGGUGUAAUGUUAAAGGUGUAAUAGUUUUGAGGGAAGGUGUAAUAGUGUUAAGGGAAGGUAUAAUAUUGUUAAGGGAAGGUGUAAUGUAAAGGUGUAAUAGUGUUGAGGGAAGGUAUAAUAUUGUUAAGGGAAGGUGUAAUGUAAAGCUGUAAUAGUUUUAAGGGAAGGUAAAUGUUUAGUGAAAUUGUUAUGGUGUGAAUCUAAGGUGUAUGUUAUGUUGAUGUAAAAUAAAGGCAUUAACCCCAAAUGA